AGCCUCAUUCUCCAUGAGAAUGGGGACUGCUGCUUGUAUGUGUCUAGAAAUUCUCAAUGCAGCUAAACUGAGACAGAGAUCGUUCUUCUGUCUCAGUAAAUGUAUUGCAAUGGUGACGUGAUAAGACCUGUAAUUUUU
rnacentral:snoRNA from 1 species